UACGUAGGGGGCAAGCGUUGUCCGGAAUCAUUGGGCGUAAAGAGCGCGUAGGCGGCCCGAUAAGUCCGCUGUGAAAGUCAAGGGCUUAACCCUUGAAUGCCGGUGGAAACUGUCGGGCUAGAGUCCGGAAGAGGCGAGUGGAAUUCCUGGUGUAGCGGUGAAAUGCGCAGAUAUCAGGAAGAACACCUAUGGCGAAGGCAGCUCUCUGGGACGGUACUGACGCUGAGACGCGAAAGCGUGGGGAGCGAACAGG
rnacentral:rRNA from 1 species